rnacentral:rRNA from 1 species
CUUGGGUGACGAGUGGCGGACGGGUGAGUAAUGUCUGGGGAUCUGCCCGAUAGAGGGGGAUAACCACUGGAAACGGUGGCUAAUACCGCAUAACGUCGCAAGACCAAAGAGGGGGACCUUCGGGCCUCUCACUAUCGGAUGAACCCAGAUGGGAUUAGCUAGUAGGCGGGGUAAUGGCCCACCUAGGCGACGAUCCCUAGCUGGUCUGAGAGGAUGACCAGCCACACUGGAACUGAGACACGGUCCAGACUCCUACGGGAGGCAGCAGUGGGGAAUAUUGCACAAUGGGCGCAAGCCUGAUGCAGCCAUGCCGCGUGUAUGAAGAAGGCCUUCGGGUUGUAAAGUACUUUCAGCGGGGAGGAAGGCGA